rnacentral:rRNA from 1 species
AUUGAACGCUGGCGGCAGGCCUAACACAUGCAAGUCGAACGAGUGGCGGACGGGCGAGUAAUGUCUGGGAAACUGCUUGAUGGAGGGGGAUAACUACUGGAAACGGUAGCCAAUACCGCAUACCAGCGGAUGUGCCCAGAUGGGAUUAGCUAGUAGGUGGGGUAAAGGCUCACCUAGGCGACGAUCCCUAGCUGGUCUGAGAGGCUGACCGGCCACACUGGAACUGAGACACGGUCCAGACUCCUACGGGAGGCAGCAGUGGGGAAUAUUGCGCAAUUGGCGCAAGCCUGAUGCAGCCAUGCCGCGUGUGUGAAGAAGGCCUUCGGGUUGUAAAAUACUUUCAGCGGGGAGGCGUUACCCGCAGAAGAAGCACCGGCUAACUCCGUGCCAGCAGCCGCGGUAAUUC